GCCAGAAUGGCGGAAUUGGCAGACGCACGGGACUCAAAAUCCCGCGCCCCAUAAAGGCGUGUCGGUUCAACCCCGACUUCUGGCA
rnacentral:tRNA from 1 species